rnacentral:lncRNA from 1 species
UAUGAUGUAAUAGGGAUUAUUUCCCGCUGUUUUGAGCAGUAUAGGUAUUAGUAGAGUGUGCUAAUACUGUGUUUAAUUGAUUGACAUGAUAAUGAUGUGUUGAUACAUGUGUUGAUGAUGUAUGAUGAUAUGCAUAAUGCUAUGAAUGUAUAUAUUAUGCAUGUAUUUGUGAAUGGACUGUUGUAUGGCUUAGAGUGUGAGCAUAUGUCCAUUGUGAAUUGUUGUUGAUGCUGCAUUGCUAGAUGAUUAGCGUGCAUAG